rnacentral:rRNA from 1 species
UACGGAGGGUGCAAGCGUUAUCCGGAUUCACUGGGUUUAAAGGGUGCGUAGGAGGGCAGGUAAGUCAGUGGUGAAAUCUCCGAGCUUAACUUGGAAACUGCCGUUGAUACUAUCUGCCUUGAAUAUUGUGGAGGUGAGCGGAAUAUGUCAUGUAGCGGUGAAAUGCUUAGAUAUGACAUAGAACACCAAUUGCGAAGGCAGCUCGCUACACAUAUAUUGACUCUGAAGCACGAAAGCGUGGGGAUCAAACAGG